GCCCUAGUAGCUUAACUCAAAAGCAUCGUCCUUGUAAGACGAAAGACUAGAGGUUAAAACCCUCUCUAGCGCC
rnacentral:tRNA from 1 species